rnacentral:rRNA from 1 species
CUGGCUCAGGAUGAACGCUAGCGGCAGGCUUAACACAUGCAAGUCGAGGGGCAUCGGGAGUAGCAAUACUUGCCGGCGACCGGCGCAAGGGUGCGUAACGCGUGAGCAACAUGCCCGUAUCAGGGGGAUAAUCCAUGGAAACGUGGUCUAAUACCCCAUAGUAAUUAUGUAAGGCAUCUUAUAUAAUUUAAAGCUUUGGUGGAUACGGAUUGGCUCGCGUGACAUUAGCUGGAUGGUAAGGUAACGGCUUACCAUGGCUACGAUGUCUAGGGGUUUUGAGAGGAAGGUCCCCCACACUGGAACUGAGACACGGUCCAGACUCCUACGGGAGGCAGCAGUGAGGAAUAUUGGACAAUGGAUGGAAAUCUGAUCCAGCCAUGCCGCGUGCAAGGAAGACGGCCCUAUGGGUUGUAAACUGCUUUUGUAUGGGAGCAAUAAGGGCUACGUGUAGUCCGAUGAGAGUACCAUACGAAUAAGCACCGGCUAACUCCGUGCCAGCAGCGGC